AAUGGAAAAGGAGGGUAGAAGAGGUGAGGAAGAAGGUAGAGGUGCUGGUAUCCUCAUCCAACAAAAUGGGGAGUUGAGAGAUACCAUCUAUAAUGCAUUGGUCUCCCCGAAACUCUAAGUUAAGGAGCUCAGGUAUGUAAUUCUUCCUGUGGAAGGAUGUGGCUGUGCUCCUGCAUGUGAAAAGACUAGAUGAUGCUGGCUGCCCAUUUGUUUUGGUUGUCUCAACCGGGAUUGUGGAUUGCUACAAAACCAAUUGGUCUGCAGCCUCUGGGUCGAUAUGAGCGAUGGCCGAAACGAACAAAGUGGCCAUGCUGUAUUGCUGCUCUCUCGCCCCGUUCAGAAGUGGCUGGGAAGUAGAUGAUGGCCAGGGCAGGAGGACAGUCUGAAGGUUGUAAACUGCCAGGAAUAUCUGCCUCCCCAAAUUCAGGGUGGCUUUUGUGCCCGUUUGUUCUCACUGGAGAAAGACUGAAGGACUGCAUGCAGCAAAGAAAACCAAUUGUUAUUUCAAAGCCUGAUGAUGGAAACCCCCCUAAGAAGGGCCUUUUGUUGCUCCUGAUUGCCCAUUUAGAUAUGAGAAAUGAGGCUCCAGGGCAGAAUGCUGAAGAAGGAAGCAGAGCAAAGGGCUACGUUCCUUUACAAAGAGAAGAGAAAGUCACCCAGGGGAGAUCCUGGCAGAGGCUGGGGAAGGAAGAGAGAGCAAAGGCCAGCAAGGUGUCGCGGCAGCAGAAAUGGCCGAGGAAUGUCCAAUAUCCAGUUACGAGUUGUUGUCUGUGCUGUAACUCCUCCUGUUCUCCCUCCUAAACCUUCUGUAAAAUCUGCUACAAACGCAGCCUUAUGGCAAUAGUCCUCUGGGAGGGCACAACGGGGUGAUCUGUGAUAUGAGGUGACGGGAUACAGAACGGAAGCUCCACACACAGCAGUGGAAAGACAGACCUGAGGCUGAGGAAGGAGGCGAUAGAGCUGGAGGGGCAUCAGCCCUCUGGGGAUUCCCAGAGAUGUCUGAAGGGACUCUGGGUUUCUCACUCUACGUAGGCUGACGGCUCAGGUCACUUUCGUUCAAUAUUACAAAAAAGGGUAACCCCAUAACUCUGGAAGAAUGAGAAAACCCAGGCUACUGACAAGUAUUAUUGAGGUUAAUUUAUACAAAUUUUCUAAGAAAAGAACAAUGAGAUGUCCUUGGACCAAAGUAAUACAGAUUUCUCCUUUGCGUAGGUCUACAAGAAAACACAGCGGGCUCAGAGUGCCAUGGUCUUUGGUAACUGUAGGGGAGGGGAAAGUUUUCUCAAUCCUCUUAGAAUCUCUGGGUGAGUCUAUAAAUUAAACUGACAAAGAUGGAUUGAUGGGAGAAAAGCAUACACAAUUUGUUGAAUUUUUACCUAUACACGGAAGCCUUCACAAGAGAAUGAAGACCUGAAGAAAUGACCAAAGCAGGAAGCUUUUAUACUUUUUAGACAAAGAAACAAUAAAUUUGUGAAGAAUUGACAAGACAAAUGGGUCUAGGCCAAAAGUAGUCAAUGGUGAAGAAGUAACUAGGAAGAUAAAGGUUCUCAGGAAUCAUCUGCUACUUCUGGAACACCCUGAUGGGAAGAAAGCCCUAUGGAUCUGCCUAAGACCCAUGACCACCUGUGAGUCACUCUUUGGUGCAUGCAAAACAUCCCACCACUCCUGAAUCAUGCUAAGGCACAGGGAGCGCAGGCCUACCUCUCAGAGUAGACACAGCUGGAAAUGAGGCUGCAGACCUGCCCGGACAUCAGUUCCCUCAACCCAUCUGGAGGUUUUAUUUCCCCACCCCAGUGGGGGAAGAGGCAAGGCCCUGAGUCUCCUAUCUCAGGGACUCCCAACUUCUAAGACUCCUCUCUUCCCUUCCAAUGGUGCAACUCUGUGCACCAGCUGCUCUCCAGGGUGCCUCUCAGGAAGCCAUGCUCGUACAUUAUCAGCUACUCUCCAGACCUGCAGGCCUAAACUGAGACUCAAAGAGCCUGUUUUUGCACUGUUAGGCACCUCUUCCCUGAGACAAAGGCCCAAGUGACAGUGUCACUGUUUUGACUAUCGGUACGCAUCACUGGGAGUUAACUGAGAGUCAUCUGUCAGGGUGCCUCUCAGAACACUUCAGUUCAAGAUCACAAAAGUCGGGGCUCGCAGGACACCACAAGCCAAUGAGGAAUGUGUGGAAAGUAUUUGCAAUUCAUCCUCUUUUACUGAGAACGAGGAUGAAUUCUUUUUUAAUUGAACCAGAAAGAAUCUGAAUCCUAAAGUAUUUCCUUUCUUAAGGCUUCUUUGCGUAUUCAAGUGUCUUCUGUCUUAAUAACUUUUAUUCAAAUCAGAGAUUCUGAACAUAAGGUUCUUGAACUCUUUGAAAUUACAUGCAGAAUUUUCUUGGUGCCUUUUUCUGAGGUGAGCAUCCAUGGAUUGUUUUUUUUUCUUUAAUCAGAUUCUCCACAAAGAAUUUGUGACCCAGAUAAGAUUAAGAACGGUUGCUUUAAGCCAAGGUCACAAAUCUAUUUCCCCAUAACUUUCGUGCAUCCUCUUGACCACAUUUUGAAGUUCAGAAAAUACAGAUGUGUUCAAAUGAAAAGGGAGAUUCUGUGAACUGAAUUAAAGUCUUAGAAACCCAAAUUUUAUGCCUAAUGUCCCUUCCCACAGGUUCAACCCACAAUGGCACCUUACAGUUUUGAGGGAAAGCUAAUGUGACAACUGACAUCUCUUGGUCACAAGGGCUAGACACAUGGUUCUCUUCACUCUUCAAGGUGCAUGCUUUUUGAGGCUGGGCAUCUCAUCUUCAGUCACAGCACGUGAGCGGCUGUGCUCCCCUGCUUGGGCAUCCAUCAACUUACCUCAACAUAGACCUCUGCAGAGUAGGAAGUGUAUUGUAUUGGUUGACUGUGACCACAACUCCAAGGCAGAUAUUCUUGGCUCCAUUUUAUAGAUGCAGAAGGGAAGCGUAGAGAAGAUGAUCUCUGGUCUACGGUCCUGCUGGAGCUUGUGCACAGCAGGGUGAUGACCACAAUUCUUUCAAAAAUUGUUUUUAAUUAAAAAGUAGUUACAAGACACUCAUUUUGUUUUUAUGCUCUGUUAAGGAUUGAAUUGUCUCUCCCCCCCAAAAUUCGCAUGUUGAAGUGCUCUCAUCCCCCUCCAAGGUGCCUCAGAAUGUAACCUUAUUGGAAAUAGGGUCCUUACAGAUGUAGCUAGUUAAGAUGAGAUCAUACUGGAGUAGGGAGGGUCCCUCAUCCAAUAUGACUGGUGUCCUUCUAAGAAGGGGAUACUUGGACACAGACACACCCAUGGGGUGAAUGCCACGUAAAGAUGAAGGUAGAGAUCAGAGUGAUCCUUCUACGAGCCAAGGACGGUCAAAACUGCCAGAAGCUAGGUGAAAGGCAGGGAACAGAUUCUCUUUCAAAGCCUUCAGCAGGAACCAGCUGUGCCAACACCUUGCCUCCAGAACUGUGAGCCAAUAAGUUUCUGUUGUUUAAGCCACACAGUUUGUGGUACUUUGUUACAGCAGCCCUAGCAAACUAAUAUAUAUUCUGCAAUUUUAAAAAUUAAAGAAAAACAUGAACUUUUGGUUGGUAUAAGAUACUAAAACAACACAGAAAUAUGUAGAAUGAAGUGUGAAAUGCCCCCUUCACCAUGCCAAUACAUCCCUCUCCCAGUGUAACAUGGGUAUAUGGGGUGGUUAUCCCUCUAGAAUUUUUUCUGGGCCUUUACAUACAUAUUUGUAGAGACUCCUAUAUGGGGUUUUUUUUUUUUUUUUUGGCUGAAGAAGAUUUGCCCUGAGCUAACAUCCCUUGCCAAUCUUCCUCUAUUUGUAUGUGGGUCACUGCCACAGCACGGCUGCUGACAAGUAGUCUGUGCCCAGGAACUAAACCCAGGCGACCAAAGC
ensembl:lncRNA